CCAUUAUAGCUUAGGCAUAAGCAAAUUGGAUCCAUGUUGGUCUUCAGCCCACCUUCUGAUAGCAGCCACAGAACUUUGAGUUGAGAACAUGGAAGCAAGAUCAAAGAGUUGAAGAAGAAAUAUGUUACAAGAAAUGUGAUCAAUAUAAGAAGAAAUGCUCCUAAUUUUAAGCAAAACAGAGCUAGCAGCAGCAAGGCAGAAUCAACAGCAGCAAGGCAAAGACACACUCACACACAGCACCUGAGCAGCUAUUCAUAGCAGCUAAACUAAAGCAAACACAAACCAGAAUUUAUAGACAUUAACAGCAGGCAGACACGGCACCUGGAUAGAUUUACAUUGCAGAUCACAUCACACUCCAGCAGAAUGUGUAGACAGACCACCAGAGUGUAGCCUAACCAGUUCCAUAUUUGAGGAAGCUAAGAGAACGACAAAGACAUGGGGUAUCAGAUACUCUCAGGUGUCUGACUGAAAUGGAAUGAAGAUGGUUUCUGUACUGGUGUAGCAAAAUAUGAUGGCAAUUGGGACCCAGGAGGAUAAUCUGGAGCAGCAGGAAAUUGUGACAUCAAUCUAGUGGAUGAGAAUGGGAUUUGGUUAGGAUAUCCAUAAAACGAAUCAAACCUGGUAGACAGUUUUGGCACCAGUAUUCUUAAGCUCAAUACCAGUCCACAGGAAAGACCUACAAAGACUCUCCACCUCUCUGAUGACUUUCUUAAGUAUAAUAAACAAAGAGGACCAAUAAACUUGCAUGGAGAACAAGAUAGUGCUAAUCAACUGAGCUCUCCCGGCGUAGGACAAAAUUUUAUUGGUCCAAGAUUUGAUUCUAUUAGAGAUUCUAGACACCAAAAUCUGACAAUCAACAGCUUUGAGCCAAGUAGGAAUAAGGGGGACACCCAGGUAUCUCAUAGGGAGAGUACCAUCCUUAAACUUAGUAAUAUCCAAAAUCUCAUACCUCAACUUCUGCUCACAACCAGAGAAAAACACAUGACUCUUCAUAGGAUUAGCGGACAGACCAGACAUGCUUUGAAACUCAGCUAAUCCCUCCUUAAUAAGAGUAACAGAAUUAGUAUCCCCUUUACAAAAAAUCAUUAGAUCAUCCGCAAAAUAGAGAUUCACAAUUUUGGCUUUCUCACAUCCAGCGGAACUUGAAUUUUUUAGUUUGAGUUAAUUUGGUUCAAUUUCACACUUUAGACCACUAUGAACUUGGGAUAAGCCAGCUCCGUUUGUUACAAAACAAGUCUAUGCAAGAGCACCAAGUGCAGGCCAAGCUGCAGCCUGAGCUGCAGCCACAUACUUAGUUUGCCACUGAUGAAGGAGCUCAAGACAGAGCCACAGCCGCAGACCAGGUUGCUGACUCAACUGCAACAAAACACCAGGCCGCAGCCCAAGCCACAAUGGCUGCAGCCUAGGCCACAAGCUCAGAACAAGUCUAAGCAAGAGCACCACUCUGCUGCUGCUAUUGCUGCACUUAGUUGCUGCUGCGGCUGCUGCAAACGGUUUUUGCUGCUACUGCAAGUUGCUGCCUGUUUGGGAGGGAAACCACCUAAAUUGCAUUUUCUUUUCAUUUGAUCUGGUAGAGGAGCUUGCAAGAAACCCAUUCUACGUCAGGAAUCCUUGCACAACCUUGCUGGUUAUACAUAAUCGUUGAAUUUGGACAAGGCGGUUCUAGCCUUCUGCAUGUUGCUGUGAUUUGGCUGUGUUGGGUAUAGUGGAUCCUGAUAAAUACUAAUUACUGACCACUCGAUCGCGGAUCCAAUUUAAGGGUUAUAUAUGGAGACACAGAUUCUGUAAUGGUACAAUUUGGUGUUUCUACUGUUGAAGAAGCUAUGAACUUGGGGAGGGAAGCUGCUGAUUACAUUAGUGGGACUUUCACAAAAUGACAAAAACGUUGAGGAUUCUCUGGGCGGAAGUAUUGUGGCUCAGAUCUCUAAGAAGUUUGGUGAGAGUUUCUUUCGAGACUUUGAGGAGAUGAAGAGUCAGUGUGAUGAGAAAAUGUUCGACUGUAUCUUUUGUAAGACUAGAACAGUCUCUACAAAUAGUUAGUUUAUUUAUAUACUUCUAGCGGUUUCUGAAGUAAUUUGUAUUUCUAUUUUUUAGGUCAGAAAUUUCUUGGAGAGAUAUAAAAUAUGGUCAAAGAAUUCAAGAA